AAACUUACCUGAACAGGGUCAAUAAGAGAUUAAGAAGUCUCAUGGCCUAAAUCAAUGACCUACAUUGCACGUUUUAGGCGCAUAGGUCUACCAUCUGCCUGUGGAUAGAGUGGAUAUUAUAAUUUGUGGUAGAUGGAGUAUGCGUUCGCGCGGCCCCUAC